AACGAACGCUGGCGGCAGGCCUAACACAUGCAAGUCGAACGGACGUAGCAAUACGUUAGUGGCAGACGGGUGAGUAACGCGUGGGAACACGCCCUUCGGUUCGGAAUAACUCAGGGAAACUUGAGCUAAUACCGGAUACGCCCUUAGGGGGAAAGAUUUAUUGCCGAAGGAUUGGCCCGCGUCCGAUUAGCUAGUUGGUGAGGUAAUGGCUCACCAAGGCGACGAUCGGUAGCUGGUCUGAGAGGAUGAUCAGCCACACUGGGACUGAGACACGGCCCAGACUCCUACGGGAGGCAGCAGUGGGGAAUAUUGGACAAUGGGCGCAAGCCUGAUCCAGCCAUGCCGCGUGAGUGAUGAAGGCCCUAGGGUUGUAAAGCUCUUUCGCCAGGGACGAUAAUGACGGUACCUGGAUAAGAAGCCCCGGCUAACUUCGUGCCAGCAGCCGCGGUAAAAC
rnacentral:rRNA from 1 species